rnacentral:tRNA from 3 species
UGCGCCCGUGGUCCAAUGGAUAUGACGUAGGCCUCCGAAGCCUGAGAUAAAGGUUCGAUUCCUUUCGGGCGCGUCCA